UAGCUCAGUUGGUAGAGCGUGGUGUUUGCAACACCAGGGUUGUGGGUUCGAUUCCCAU
rfam:Salmo salar isolate Sally breed double haploid chromosome ssa11, whole genome shotgun sequence.